rnacentral:rRNA from 1 species
AAACGCUGGCGGCGUGACCUAACACAUGCAAGUCGAACGAGAAAGUCGGUUUCGGCCGGAUGAGUAAAGUGGCGCACGGGUGAGUAACGCGUGGAUAAUCUACCCUUUAGUCCGGAAUAACUUGCCGAAAGGUUGAACUAAUACCGGAUGAACAUCCCGGGGUUCUCCGGGAAAACCGGGAUCAAAGAAGGCCUCUGCUUGCAAGCUUUUGCUGAAGGAUGAGUCCGCGUACCAUUAGCUAGUUGGUGGGGUAAUGGCCUACCAAGGUUAUGAUGGUUAGCUGGUCUGAGAGGAUGAUCAGCCACACUGGAACUGAAACACGGUCCAGACUCCUACGGGAGGCAGCAGUGAGGAAUAUUGCGCAAUGGGGGCAACCCUGACGCAGCAACGCCGCGUGAGUGAGGAAGGUUUUCGGAUUGUAAAGCUCUGUCGAGCGGAAAGAAAUGCACGAUGGCUAAUAUCCAUCAUGCUUGACGGUACCGCUAGAGGAAGCACCGGCUAACUCCGUG